rnacentral:rRNA from 1 species
AGCUGCAGAAGAAGCACCGGCUAACUCCGUGCCAGCAGCCGCGGUAAUACGGAGGGUGCGAGCGUUAAUCGGAAUUACUGGGCGUAAAGCGCAUGCAGGUGGUUUGUUAAGUUCAGAUGUGAAAGACCCGGGGCGUCAACCUCGGAAUAGCAUUUGAAACUGGCAGACUAGAGUACUGUAGAGGGGGGUAGGAAUUUCAGGUGUAGCGGUGAAAUGCGUAGAGAUCUGAAGGAAUACCGGUGGCGAAGGCGGCCCCCUCGGACAGAUACUGACACUCAGAUGCGAAAGCGUGGGGAGCAAACAGGAUUAGAUACCCUGGUAG